GGCCCCGGCCCCGCCGCCGGCCCGCGCGCGCUCGGCCGGCCGCAGGGCGAGCGGAGGGUCUGGCGAGGAGCUAAGCACGUUCAGAGGGCUGACAAUUAAGUUUCCGCAAUACGUAUACAUUUAUUUAAACGGGAACGUCGGAAUCUCUGGAAACGCAGUUUUAAAAUUCUAGCUCUGCUGCCUGCCUGCCUACCUUGGACUCCGUAUCCGGGAGCUGGGUGGCCUUCCUUCAAAGGGCAGCGCAGCCCAGAAGGAUUUCUGUCAUCACCCCAGCCACCCUGCAACUCUGGGCCCCACAAGGGACAACGUUGGAUCCAGGCUGCAUCUGUGACCUACACUGCAGCUCAAAGAAACACUGGAUCCUUAACCCACUGAGGGAGGCCAGGGAUUGAACCCACAUCCCCAUGGAUACUAGUCAGGUUUGUAACCCACUGAGCCACAAGGGAACUCCUGUUGUGCCCUCUUUAUUAGGGAUCGAUGUUGAAGAAAUUGGGAGGCAGGCUACAACUGCAAUUAACAGCAUGUGCUUUGGGUCCCACACACUUAUAUACUUAUAUUUAAAUUCUGGCUGUGUGACCAUGGACUAAUUGCUUAACUGCUCUGAACUUCAUCUGUAAAGGGGGCUAUGAAUACCAAUUUCACAGGUUGUCAAAAGAGAAAACGAAGUGAAAAUCUUUACUUAGCGCAGUGCCUGGAACAUGGUAAGACCCAAUGAACCGUAGUGAUAAUUAUUAUUAUCCCUAAUAAACUCAAGGUAGGGUUUCUUUUUGGUUUUUUUGGGGGUUUUUUUUGUUGUUGUUGUUGUUCUGCUUUUUAAGGUUGCACCUGCGGCAUAUGAAGUUUCCCAGGCUAGGGGUUGAAUCGGAGCUGUAGCCACAGGCCUACACCACAGCCACAGCAACGCAGGAUCCCAGCCGCGUCUGCAACCUACCCCACAGCUCAUGGCAACACCGGAUCCUUAACCCACUGAGUGAGGCCAGGGAUGGAACCUGCAUCCUCAUGGCUCCUCCUCGGAUUUGUUUAUUCAUUUCUGCUGCGCCACGACGGGAACGCCCCACAAGCGGUGAUUUCUGGUGAAAGUUUUCAUGUGAGGUCACUCACUGUCAGUAGUACUCAGUUUACUUGAAAUUUUUUCUUUUUCUCUUUUCUUCCUCCUUCCUCCCUUCUUCCCUCCCUCGCUCCCUCCCUCCCUUUCAUCCUUUCUUUUCUAGCUUGGAAACAUUAUUUUAGUCUGGAGUUACUUUUGUAGAAAAUAGAAAUAGAAGAGUUAGAUUCUAUUAUGUUUUAACUAAAAAUACUCAUUCCAAGAGACCUGACCAGACAUGGUAAAUGCAGAACGGACUUCCUAAACAUUCAAAUCUAGAAGUUGCCACGGUGCCUGGGAAGCAGUAAGAGGCUUCAGCGGCUGAAACGCUUUCCAGAAAAAGCUGGAGGAGAGGCCUUGGCCUGACUCACUGUUGCCCUGGCAACAGUAGGGCCUGGAGGCCUCUGUCCCUGAUCCCUUAAUCUGAGGCGCCGCCACAACAUUGCCUGAGGAAAGGUCCCCACAGACACCUGGCUGGUUAAGGCUCCCCAUCUGAAAGGAGGGCAGAGAAGAUGGUGGUGCGGCUCCCCUGCCCCAAGCGCUGCCGAGGGGUCUCCGUCAGCCUUCCGGACCCCAGAGGCUCAGUCCUGAGAAUCAGGCUGCAGCAUCCACCAGAUUCUAAGUGCUGUCCAGGCAGCGGAGGGUCCCCUGAUCCCUUGGUGUUUCUCCAUGGAGCCUGGUACAAUGCUUUGCACACAGCAGAUGCCUAAUAAAUACCGGCGUCCGGGGGGUGAUGGGCAUCCCCCAGGGCGCCAGACCCCCGCUGCUCCUGCAUGAGCGCCGGCCUGGACCACCCGCUCCUCCCUGAAUCCAUUUGUCCAGCUGCGAGCACGGGCUCCACGAUGCUAAGGCCUUUCUUGCCUCGAGAAAUCUUUUUUCUAAUUCUCUUACCAUGUUCGUGAUUUUGGCAAACGUAGGGCACAGAUCAUGUUCUGCUCAAUAUAUUGUUUCACCUCAUUGUGUCUGGUUUUUUGUUUGUUUGUUUGUUUGCUUUGGUCUUUUUAGGGCUGAACCCACAGCAUA